rnacentral:lncRNA from 1 species
ACAUCUCACAGGUCCUAACAUCCAACAACAGAUAGCAACAGAAGAGCCACUAAAUAAUGAAAUAAAUCUCAUAACAUAAGAAGAGAGAAAAGAAAACAGCAUGGACCUUAGAAACGCCUAGGACAAGCUAAACAAAAUGAGCCAUAUAAAAUCCUUUAUGUGCCCCUACAACAACUGAGUGUCAGAUAUUGCAUGUAUCUAUGUCUAAUUAUGCUGGAAAUUUUAGGCAAAUCUUCUAGGUCUUACUGGAAAUGAUAGCUAUGGUAGCAAAAGUCAAGAGUGAGAAAGCUUUCCAGACAGAUAAUAUAUGAAGGGGAUAAAAAGAUAGAGAGAAACACACUUAAAUAAUCAAAAUGCAGCGUAUUUCUUAUAACUUUUUAGCACUAUCAGUUCCAUUUCAUGACCAGUAGUCCUUCAAAUUUCAUCACAAAUUAAUCCAAAUAGAGGCAGGUUAAACAAAUCGAUUAUACAAUGAAAAGUAAAAAUUGACUCUACAAAAUCAAUAGUGUUAUAAGUUGAAACUUUUUAAUUUCACAUAUUAACCUUCAGUUCUGUUUUGCUCUCUUGCUGGUAUAAGUAAAACCCUAGAACUUUAAUUCAGGAGGAAAAUGUAACAAAGAGAUUGUACCUGAGCAUAUAAACAAGGAUCCCGAUAAGCCUCGGGGUCUCUAGAGACCGCAUGAAGUGAAACAGACAAGAAAUCAACUGCAUAACCUUUACUCCUAUCAGUAUCGCUUAGCCACACCACUUGCCUGGUGAUAUUUAACGAAUCGCAAAACUAAAACUCAACUACUGAUUAAGAAACAAACAAUAUACAUGAACACAAACAAAAGUAGAUUGAAGGUCAAGAUGUUACUUGGAGGUGAUAUAGAGAGUGCCAGGUGACUCAGGAGGGCGGCUGCCGAGGACUACAGCAGUUCCAGGCUGAACAUACAUGAGUUCCUCGCCGUUGUCGGUGUCGAGGAAUGGCUGCCCGGCUCCGUCACCGGUUCUUUCAGCGACGAACUUCAAGCCUGACAUAUUUUCCGGCUAAUUGCUGUUGCUUAGCUUAGCAAAAAAAAGUAGUCUAGGGUUUUAGUUUAGGUUGGGCGCCAAAAUUAACUUCGACAGCAUUUUACACUCGUAAGAAGCUUCUGGACUCUCAGUCCCCUCUUGACCAAAGUCAAAAUCAUUAGCUUUUUUUUUUCGUUUUUCUUUUUUCUUUUUGUCCUUUUUGAUACGUUGGAAAAUAAAAAAAAUCACUACUAAUAUGUUUGUAACUUGUGAGCUACCUUGCUUAAAAUCAAUAAUAAAGAAUAAUUUUUUUUAUUACUUUAACAAAAAAAAAAGGAUGAAAUGCGUUUAAAUUAGGUACAAUUAAAAUAAAAUGUCAUUCGUUAAAAGUUUUAUUCAAAAAUAUUUUUGUCAUUAAUAGUUUAAUUCAAAGAUACUCUUAUUUUCACUUAAUUUGAUCAAAAUUGUCUUGUUCUAAUAAAAAUAUCCGUUUUUCUUUUUAAACAAAAAAUUUCUUAUAGAAAUAUUAUUUUAAAAGAUAAAAUUAUUUUUUCAUACUAAAAUACAAAAUAAUUUUAUUUCUUAAUCUUUUUCGAGUUGAGGUAGGAUAAACAUUUAGUAAUAAAAUUCUUGAAUUUUAAAAUUUAUAUGGAAAAGGCAAAUUAAUUAUAAAAGCAGGGAUCAUAUUAUGAAACGUUUAUCCUACUCCAAUUCAAAAAAGAUUAAGAAAUAAAAAUAUUUUUUAUUAGAAAAGAAAAUUGUAGUGUUAUCUAAAUGAAAAUCAAUAAAGAGGGUAUUGUGAUUUUAGUUAUAUGUAUUAAGAAAAAAAAAGUAUUAUUUUCCACUUUUUUUAUUAGUUAACUAAAUUAUAUUUAAAAAGUAAGAAUAAGGUUCUUUAGAUAUAUUAUAGUAUCUAUUAGAAAAAGAAUGUGUUUAAAUGUAUAUAUAUUAGGGAAAUGAUUGUUUUAGACCCAAUAAAGUAAAAAUUGGGACGUUUUUUGGCCAGAUUAUUAACAAUAAUUUUUUUUAAUCAAUUCGUUUUAUAAAAGACAUUUUUAUUCAGUUUCACAUAAUUUAAUGACAUUUCUUAUUUUUUCGGAGUUUUAAUUAUAUCUUCCUAAACCACCAAAUCUUCUUCUAAUAUGUAACCUUCAUUUAUCAAUAUAUAUAUUUAUAAUUGUUGCUUAAACCUUGAGUUGGUAGUUAAAUUUUGAUUUUGGUUCUUGUAUUAUCAUGCUAUGCAAAUUGAAUUUUAAUUAAAUAAACUGUGUGAUUUAGUUCCUAAACCUAACUCCAAAACGAAUGGUGUUGGCUUUCGUUAUUCAAUUUUUAUUUUUUUUUAUAAAAUAAAACUCACUGUUCUUGUCGAAUGAGGGGAAAAAUUCUCAAUUUCUAUUUGGCAACUCAAUCAUCAAAUUGCUUAGUUGGAGAAUGACUUCAAGAGAGAAGUUGUUGAGUUUUAAGAUAUGCAAAUGUGUCAAUUUAUCUAUCUAUUACCAUACAUAAGGUUAGGAUCAUAAUCAACAAUUGAUAUAGAGAAAACAUAUAAACACCUAAAGUUAUCCUGAUUUUAAAAAAAGAUACAUUAACUUCACCAAUGUUUUAGUACUCCAUAAAAAUUUUAAAUAUCUUUGUUAAAAUAUCAUUUUGAUCAAUUUUCUCCCUACAUUUAUUUUCACGCAGAUGACGCACGUAAAUAAAAAAAUUUGCUUUCAAAAACGGAUUAAAAAGCGUCAUGUAUCAAUUCUUUCCUAUUAUUUAAUUACUUCCUCUUUAAAAACAUUGUCUUCUCCAAUUCUUUCAAAAGAGUCGUUGGUUGAAGGUUUAAACAAAAUCAUCUUCUUUCUUAAAUGAAAUCAGUCCAAAAAGAUAUGAACUUUUUAAUUUCUUGUUAAUUUCCAGUUGUUCAAGGUUUAAUUUCUUCAAAUUUGAGAUACCAAGUGUUUGCAACAAAUUUCCUUAAGCGCUGAAAAUCAACUUCAAGCAAAAUAAAUAAAAGAAAAAUGUUAUUUUUAUUUAUGAAUCGUUGUGAGUACAAUUCUGUUGUUCUCUUGAUUCUCUCUCCAAGAUUCGAGGGUCUUCAGUAGCGUAUUUCUCGAAAUAUUGGAUGAUGUAGACCUCCUUGAGAUGUUGUCGAUCUACGGGAACGUCGGAAUGCGCUUCGUCGUUUCAAGUCGAUCUCCGGGAAGAACUCCGUUGAUGACUCCUUCGAAGAGCUAUGUAGUUAAUGGUGUAGCUUCCUCCAAUUGCAGAAUGCUUGUUGAAGAGUUUUCUUGAUGCCCUUAGAAUGUCAUGUCCAUCCUCUAUUUAUAGUUGUAGGGGGUGGACAAGGUUGCUUGUGAUUGGCCAAAGAAUGUCAUUUUGACACUUGGCGGAUUGUGACUGGUUCUUGCAUUUGACUGGGACUACCACCUCAUUUGGACACGUAGCGUUACCUUGUUGGUCUUGGAUGCCUAGUCACAGUGACACGUGGCAUGAGUUUGGGCUUCAAGGUGAAAUGGACCUUGGAUUUGAAUUUAAUAAGAUGAACUUAUUUAUUUGUAAAGCCCAAAUUAAUCAUUCAGCCCAAAUGAACAUGAUUUAAUUCAAAUUUUGUAUGAAUUUGAUCUAAUACAAUUUAUGUGUCUACAAAUGCCCUUACUUCGAGACUUGUCGACGUGUAUGCUUGCCGAAGUUUGGCGACAAGACUUGAAGUAUUCAUGAAUGUGUUUUUUUUAGGCUUGUCAACGUGUAGGCUUGCCGAAUUUGACGACGAGAGUUAGAGUCUUCAUGAAUGUGUUUUCUCUUUUUGAGACUUCAAGAGUAUUUGUUUCUUGUCGUCGUAUUCUAACUAGACCAUUACAAAUGAUUUGCUUGUAGUGAUCUGAAUUUUUUAAAAACAUUCUUGCUCGACAACCACGUGGACCCUCUAUAUUGAUUUCAAAAUAGAUGGGUCUAGUGAGUAGUAACAUUAUUUUUUCGUCUGAUUUUCCUUGCAAGGUGUGAAGAAAAAACAAGAAGAUUGAUUGGAUUUUGAAUCAAAUAAAAAGAAUAUCAACUUUUCUUAUCCAAGUCAAUGAAGAUAUUCUUCUUUCCUUAACUCUUUGGUCAUCCUUCCAUAUUGGUGUGGCUUCAAAAUGGACAUGAACUAUCUCAACCCAAAUCAGAUUUUUAUUUUCCAAAUCCACCUUAUUAUGCCUUGUGGAAGGAUUAGAAAUCUUUCACAAGAAUCCCUAUAUAAUCCUCUCCAAUGCAUAAAGAGUUUCAUCAUACAAAAUUUUAGAUGCUGCAAAAAACAAGUUAUCCGAGUGUAUUUAACUGUUCAGUUGCGACGUCGCUUGUUUUUAUCAAAUCGGGAGACAUAACCUCCAUCAUAUCUCAAAAGAAACUUCAAGCAAGGUACUCUUGCUACUUUCUCAGGUAACUUAGACUCUUGUUUAGCAGUAACCCGUCUUGAUGGUUCAGCUUUGCACGCCUGUAGUGUAAAAUCCAUAUCUAAUUGUAGAAAAAUCAAAAUCGUAAGCCGUUUGGUUUUUCCGAAACUAGAAACAUGGCACUACGACAUAUAAAAUAUUUGUAGCCAAAUUCGUUUUCAAUUGCUACAGUUUUGAUCUUCAAGUUUGAACCCGUUUCUGAUUGACAGAUUUGCGUGUCCGUAGUGUACAAUUCAUUUCUAAUUGUAGAAAAAUCGAAAUAGCAAGUCGUUUGGUUUUUCCAAAACUAGAAACAUGGAACUACGACAUAUAAAAUAUUUGUAGCCAAAUUCCUUGUCAAUUGAUACAAUUUUAAUUUUCAAGGUUGAACUCAUUUUUGAUGGUCAGAUCUUUUUUUGUCUUUUGAUUACUCCGAUUGUGUUUUCGCCAAUGUAACCUCCUUUUUUUUUCCAGAGCCACAUUGUGCAAUAUUGAUUUCAAGCAGCGACAAUGGACUUUAGUGAUCGAGAUGCGCCAUACCCUUGCCUUGAAAUCGUGAGAACAAGCAACAUUCGCGCGCCAAAGUUCUCACCAUGAAAGUUCAUCCUCCGGUGAUCGGCGCCUUCCCACUUCUUAGAAAGACGUUGGACACUUCUCAUCAUCUCCCGGAGUGGUCGUCAACAGAAGCGAAGGAUGUUACGAACGAUUUCUCCGGCAAUGUCACAACUGAAAAAGUUCUCCUCUUGAAGUCUUCCACUCAUCAAAAUGUUGUUGUUGCCGUCCCUCCUCGUCGUGAUGAACAUCUUAGCAGUUGGCGUGUUCUUUCUUCUGGGUUUGGUGAGGUUCACUAUACGUCUGGCUAUUGGGAGUGGGUAGAGGAUGAGCUUGCCCGCUGCAAGGAGACUUUGGAUAACAUGAAGACUUAUGAUGCUAUCUUUGCUUCAAUGUUCACAUACGACCACAACGAAAACGUUCUCCAGGCCUUUUGCGAGAAUUGGCGUCCAUCCACCAAUACGGUCUCUACCUUCGUAGGAGAGUUAUCUAUUUCUUUAUGGGAUUUGAGAACCAUUGGAGGUCUUUAUGUUCAUGGUUCCUUUUAUGAUGAAGUUAUACCCUCGGCUAAGGAGUUGACACAUGUAGAUGAUCAAGGGAAGUCUUUUCUCCCAAGAAGUUGCUCCUUCUUGUUUUCGGCGUUCUACCGACUUACCAAAGGUGCCAUCGACGAAGUCUCUUUUCGAGAAUGGACAAAGUUUUGGUUUAGGGGGCCGAGAAAAUAUGCCGAGCCUUCGCCAAGGACGUUUAAGAAUCAUACAAUACCAAGGUUGAAUCAUGAUCCUUCUGGAAAUAUUGACAUGAGCUUUUUGCCUCGAACCGAAUAAGAGAAUGCUCUUUUUGUCGAGCUAGGCAUAGAAGAAUCAUUCAGGGAUGAGACUUAUCUGGAGGGUUUUCUCGCAUGUUGGCUUUGCAAGUUUGUUCUUCCUAACAGGAAAGUUGAUUGUAUUCAUGCUAGUGUCUUCAAAGUUGCAAGCUUGAUGGCUCAUGGAGAAAUAUUUUCUUUGGCGGUUCCGGUCUUAGCAAACAUCUAUCGCGGCCUCAGGGAUAUAUCCACUUCUUCAAACUUGGGUGCUUGUAAUACAUUACUUCCCUUCCAUUAUGUAUAUGGAUGGAUAGGUGAGUAUUUUGAGACCUACUUUCGUAUUACCCGUCCUCAACGAGUUGUGCGAAUUUGGCAAAUUUUUGGAGAAAAGAUGGCGAAACAUUUUGACCUCGUUGACGCUCGCAAGUUAUUUCAACAAGUGAAUGUCCAUGACCUCCACAAUCUGGCCAUGCUACAAGGAAAUGAGCUGCAUAUUGAUGAUAGUGGAAAAUUGUCCACUUCCUGGAGCGAUUUCCUUAUAGGUCUUCGUUCAAGUUUUGUCACUUUGAGGUUGGAUGAUGAACUGAUUGUGGAGCCUUAUAGCCCUCACCGAUUCAGUUGACAAUUUGGAUAUUGUCAAGACGUUCCUGGUGCACUUAUAGAGCACCAUUAUGAUGGUUCACUGCUAGCUUUGGUGCAACUAUGGGAUUCAUGUGUUUAUCUUGGGAGCUCUUCGAAGAUCAUCAUACCAAUGUGUUCAUCCAAUAAGAGGUCUUUAAUGACUCGUGAGUAUUCAGAUUGGUGGCCAUCCCAUCGAGAUAUUCUACUGAGACGAAGUACCCACAUAAUUUUGAGAGGUCCGAAAAAAGAUGAUGUUUCUUUACCAACCAAAGGAGAACAACUUCAAGAAAAGCUUCCUCACUCUUUAAAGUCCAAGGUGACACCAAAUAUUCCUCAGCAAUCUGUCAGCGUUGUUUCCAAGUCCAAAAGUUCGAAGGGCAAGGCUACACAUGUGGAUAACAGAGUUAAGGGUCCUUUACAGACUCCCAAGGCUGCCAAUAUCACUGAUAAAGAGGUGAUCGACGUAACUCUCAAGAGGAAGAAACCUUCCAGCUCAUCGGACAAAGGUGUUGUAAAGCCACUUGGCAUUGCACCAUCUUGUAGCAACACGUCAAAAACGUUUAUUUCACUCCAUGAGAUUGACAUUAAUGCUAGUGCAGCCUCUAGCUCCAAUGAGAGCAAUGUUAGCCAAGAGCUACAUUGGAAGCGUUUGAAGAAAAAAUCUAAGGACUUGAACACUCAACAAUGCGAGUUCGUUGAAUUGGAUUCCAUUAGUAUUGAUACUGCGAUCUUUGAAGAUGGUGUUGCUGGUUCUACAAUGCCCUUGACAGAAUUGGCACAUCAGGUAAAAGUCACCUCUUGAAUAUUUCUCUAAACUUGCCUCCCUUUUUUUCUUUGCAGCUACUUUCUUCAACAGGUUACCAAGUGUCUUGUUAAAAGCUUCAGCAAGACCAUUGGUAGGUGCAUUGUACAUUGAAGACUUAUGUUGCUUAAAACUGAACUUCUCGCACAAACUAUUCAUGAGUUUAUUGUUGAAGGGUGUGCCAUUAUCAAUAAUUAUACAUCUUGGUAUGCCAUAUCUAAAAAUUAUGUUUGAUUUGAUAAAAUCAAUAACAUUUUCCUUCUUUACCUCUUUUAAUGGUACAACUUCAACCCAUCUAGAGAAAUAGUCAGUGGCAGCUAAAAUAUAUAUUUGUCCUUUUGAUGACUUUGGAAGAGGUCCAACAACAUCAAGUCCCCAUGCAUCGAAGGGCCAUGAGGCUACAGUCGUAUGCAGAGCCUCUGGAGAUUGAUGGAUGUAAUUAGCAAGUGAUACGCUUGACACUUUUUGGCAUGCUCUAAGCAGUCCAUCACCAUUGUUGGCCAAUAGUAGCCUAUCCUUUUGAUGCGAAAAUGAAGUUUAGGCCCUGAUUGGUGUGCUCCACAUGUUCCAGAAUAUGCCUCCUCCAUUGUUUGUUGAGCUUCUUCUUUGUCAAGACACCGCAAUAAUAGUCCCUCAUAAGAAUGACGAAACAGUAUCCCAUCGUGAAAGAUGAAUCGUGGUGCUCUUCUCUUAAUGUCUGCUCUUACUCGUGGAUCCUCAGGCAGUCUUCCAUGUUCAAGAUACUCAAUCAGUGGUUUUCUCCAAUCUCCUUCUUUAACCACUCGAACAGAUAUAUGAUGGCUUUCAUCGAUUUGAAGAUCAAGACAACCAGGAAUAACCCAUUGAUGACAUACACGCACCUUUGUUGUCUAAUUUUCUUCGAGUGCUAUUGUUGUAGCCAAGUUAGCCAAAGCAUCUGCCAUGCGAUUUUCUUCUCUUGGGACAUGAUUUAAGAACACUUGAUCAAAUCUUUCAAGUAAGAAAGUAGCAUAUUGGUGAUAUGACAAAAGAUCUUCCUUCUUUACCUCAUUGCUUCCCGAGAGUUGAUUGAUGAUCAAUUGAGAGUCAUCGUAGAUAUCCAAUUGAAGAAUCUUCACAUCUUAUGCCAUUUCAAGGUUCAAAAUCAAAGCUUGGUACUCUGCGGCGUUGUUGGAACAUGUUUCACCUAGAACAAAUGAAAAUGGUAAGAUUAGUUGUUCUGGAGAUAUCAACACGACUCCCGCCCCUGCACCAUCUCGACGUGCAGAUCCAUCAAAGAACAUUGUCCAUAUUGGCAGCUCUUUAGUAAAAAAUGCAUCUUCAUCAGGGAACUCAUCUGAAGUUUCCCAUUUUCCCAUUUUCCCGGAAGAGGGUGAUCAGCAAGGAAAUUAUCAAGUGCUUGCCCCUUCACAGCCUUUUGAGGUGUGUAAAUGCUCUCAUAUUGAUUAAACAGUAUAGACCAUCAUGCUAGACAUCCUGAGAGAACUAUUCGAGUCAUUACGAACUUCACGGGAUCAGCCCGAGAAAUUAGCUUGAUAGUGUACGCUUUAAAAUAAUGCCUCAAUUUUCUUAUCGCAUAAAGCAAUGCUAAGCACAUCUUCUCAAUGGGGGUAUAAUUCAACUCAGCUCCUAUCAAGGUCUGACUUAGAUAGCACAAUGCUUGUUCCUUUUUAGCUUUAUUCUCUUGAGCAAGAAGUGUCCCAAGUGAUCGCUCUUGCGAUGCAAUGUACUGUAUCAAAGGCUUUCCAAGAGUUGGUGCCACUAAUACAAGCGAAUUUAUCAAGUAUAUCUUGAUGCUUUCAAAGGCAUUUCGACAUGAUUGGUCCCUGUGGAAAGGAGCAUCUUUCUUCAUUAAAUGGUUGAAAGGUUGACAUCAUCCAACCAGGUUAGAAAUGAAUCUCUGAAUGAAUGACAAAUUUCCUUGUAGACUGCGUAGGUCUCUCAAGUUCUUUGGCUCAGGCAUUUUUUGAAUGGCAUCAAUCUUUGCGGGAUCAACUUCAAUUCCACGGUGACGCACAAUGAAGCCAAGAAACUUUCCUGAGGUAACCCGAAAUGCACAUUUGAGUGGAUUCAUCUUCAAGUCAAAUUUCCUUAACCUUUUAAAAACAAUUCGAAGGUCUUUAAGAUGGUAUUCCCUUUGUUUUGUCUUUACCACCAAGUCAUCAACAUAACAUUCCACCCUCUUAUGAAGCAUGUCAUCAAAUAUGUUUUGCAUUACACGUUGAUAGGUGGCCCCAUCAUUCUUUAGACCAAAGGGCAUCACUUUGUAGCAAUAAAUUCCUUUUAGAGUUCGGAAAGAGGUGUAUUCUUUAUCUUUUGGAGACAUUCUGAUUUGAUUAUAUCCAGAAGAUCCAUCCAUAAAUGACAUUGAUUCAUGCCCAGUUGUAGCAUCAACCAUGAGCUCAAUGAUUGGCAGAGGGAAGUCAUCUUUUGGACAUGUUUUGUUCAAAUCUCAAAAAUCAACGCAGACACGUAUUUGACCAUUCUUCUUCUUAACAGGUACAAUAUUUGAACUCCAUAACGGGUACUUCACUUCUUGAAUAAAUCCAUCUUGGAUGAGCUUGUUAACCUCCGCUUCAAUUUGUGUUACCAACUCAGGACGAAACACUAGUUGUGACUGCUUUAUAGGACGUGUUCCCUUUUUUAUCCCCAAAUGAUGAAUAGCUAUCAUAGGACUAAGGCCCGACAUUUCUCUGUACGACCAAGCAAAAACGUCUUUGAACUCAACCAAUAACUUGAAGUAUUUCCUCUCUUCUUCUGGUGUAAGAACUGCACUAAUGAAGAUUGGACGCGGAUCUUCUAGAUUGCCUAGAUUUAGUUCCUUGAGGUCGUCUAUGGUUGAUUGUAUGCCAUCCUCCAGUUGAGGGGGGACCUCUUGGACAUCAUCAUCUGUAUCGUCAAUGUUUGGACCUUCUUCCACUGUUAUGUGAUAGGAUGAUUGUGUCAAGUUUGAAUCUUCCAUUUGACUUCCCACUGUGAUGGUUUCAUCUUCCUCCUUAUAAGUUUCUCCAUGAAACUGGUUGGUGACAACAAUUGUGCUUCUUUUCACCCUCAAAGAACUAUCAGUGAUGAUUGACAAUAAAGCCUUUCUCUUCAUACGUUAUGGGAAAACACUAUGAAUCUCUUUGUCAUCAGUUACAUCACAAUAAUCUUGAUUUUCAUGCUCCAGCAACCUUCUUUCGGAUAAUGACUUUCUUUUGGUUCCCAAGAGAUGAAAUACAGAAGUCUUUGAGGUGGUGGCAUAUUCGUCCACUUGUUUAGAGGAUCCUCUUUCAUCGUUGCGGCCCAAUCUUUCAAAUGCAGAGACAUGAGGUGUCAAUCUUCCAAUGCGUUCAAACACCGAUGCCCGUUAUGGUGUUUUACCCUCCUUAGAUUCCUUUGUCUUCUCUAUAGAAGUGUAGUGGGAUGAAGUUAUUUCUUUCCCCUUCUUAGAUGAAAUCCGAAGAGGCUCCGGUAAGCUGAAUCCUAACCCAAACUUAGGAGUGGCGACAUAAUAUCCUUGUUUUCUCAACCACAUUUGAGACUUUGUAAGUCCAUAUAUCUUUUCACCGGUGACUUCUUCCGUGAGUUCUCCUAACUUUGCUGGAUUUGAGAAGUUGUAACCUGAUUUUUCAAAUAAUGUGAAGACCUUUUGAUCAAAGUUCUCUUUUAUCUGACCAACUUGGGUAUUUCCUUUGGAAGGCUCCAAAGUGAAAGACGGGACUUGUGCAACUGAGACAUACAUUUUCUCCUUCAAAUCUUGGAAUGUUGUGUGACUCAAUUCUUUCCUCGGUGGGUGAACUUGUUGGGUACAUUCCUCUAGCAGUGAUUGUCCUUUUUUUCAACGUUCACGUGAAAUAUAGCGAAAAAUUGGUUGCUCAUCAUCAAUAUUGGUCUGCAUGUCUCCUUUAGAUGGUGAAAGCUUAAUGGAAACUUCUUCCGUUCUCUUCUUAGACAUCUUGAUAGCGUCCUAUUGAACUUUACUAUCUUCGAGAUCAAUCGAAUCGGCUUCUGCAUGUUUCUCCAUAUUUGAUCUUCCAGAAUCUAAAUAGAAUUUUGCAUCUGCAAAAUAUGACUCCAUCUCAGUGAAAGGAUUGAUGUCUGCUUCAAUUUUGACUACUUCACCAUCUUUCAUAUACUUCAUGCAUUGAUGCAAAGUAGAUGACACCACUCCAUUUUCAUGAACCCAAGGACGUCCGAGUAACAUGUUGUAUGGUUUUGGCAUCUAUGACAUGAAUCAAUGUGUUUGAUUUCACGUCGCCAAUGGACAAUCCUACGCGAAUCCUCCCUAUGGAUCGUUGUCCUCCUUGAUUGAAACCUUGGAUUGUUAAGUUACUUUUGGACAAUUCAUCAAUAGAGAUCCCAAGUUUUUUUCUAACAACUUUUGCCAUGAUAUUGACUGCCGAACCACCAUCGAUUAGUAUGCGAUUGAGAUGUUGUUCUCGAAUAGACCCUACAACAAACAAGGGCCUAUUAUGUAGCUUAGACCCUAACAACAAGUCAUCAUCUGUGAAGGCAAUUGUAGCACAACAUGGGGCAACUUUUUCAUCAGUUUGAUGUUCUUGUGUUAUUGUUGGAUUAUGCUCACAUUUGCUUCCCUUUGUUUCAUCUGUGCUGGAAAUAACAUGUGUUGCACCAAUUUGACUACCACAAAAGAAUUUUUCAGGACAGAAUUCAUCCAAUGUAAUGGGACUUCGAACCUUCUGCGACGAAGAACCAUUGAUCUUUUGGCUAGUACAAGGCUUGACGCUUUUUGAUGGUUGUAGUUGAUUCACAUCACUCCUUGUUACUCUUGUCUUAAGAAGUCAUAUCCUAAAGACUGCGUGAUGUCUCCGCUUCUUAUGAGUAACCAAAGUCCAACCAUCAGCUUCAUUUUCUUUGUGGUUGUCUAUCUCUAGUGAACCCUCAAGAGUUUUCCUUAGAAUUCAACUUCAAUAGGCGUUAAACUUCCAAAUUACAAGAAAGUAGACCUUGAGCACUUAUUUUGAUUUGGUGUUACACUAGCAUGAUUUUCCUCCGUUGUUUCAUCCUGGUCAAUGGUGAUUUUUCCUUCACUUACUAACAUCAUGAUUUUCUCCUUCAAGAUAAAACAUUUACUCGUCGGUUGGCCAAGGACACGAUGGAACUUGCAGUAUCUAGGAUCACCAACCUUAUUGAUUUCUUCAGGCCUCUUUGAUUCAGUAAGAUCAAUAACUUUCUUAGCUAGCAAUUCAUCAAGAAUCAUAGGUACAUCUGAAUCUGGAAAUGGGUAAACCUUUGCCUCUAACUCCUUCAAGGUUGGGUGUCGCCUCUCCUCCCUUGGAUAUUGACUUGGAGCUUCCUCCUCUUUUAGUUUACUCUUGGUGGUGACCUUUACAAAAGUUGCUUUCACCGCCAUAGAUUCCUUAGUCUGGAUCUUUCAGGUCAUACCUUUCUUGAACUCCUUCUUUUCCUUUGUCAGAUUAGCAAAUUGAGAUGUCUUCCCAUGACUUGUGAUGCUCAACUCCAUGUCAUGAGCUCGUGUAACACGUUCCUCAAAAGUUCGCGGUUUGAUUCCUUGUAGUAUGUAUAUAAGUCCCCAAUGCAUACCCUGAAUGCACAUUUCCACAACAGAUAUUUCAGAAAGACAAUCUUUGCAGUCCAGACUCAACGAUCUCCAACGAUUGAUGUAAUCCACCAUAACUCAUCAUUUCUUUGCUUAGUACCGGUCAACUCUAUCAUGCUUACAGUUUCGGUGAGUACUGUAGAAAUGAUUGAGGAAUUCCUUCUCGAGCUGCUCCCAACUAUCAAUGGACUCGUGUUCUAGGUCGAUAAACCAGUCGAAUGCAUUCCCUUUCAGCGAACGAACAAACUAUUUUACCAAAAAGUCACAAUGCGUUCCAACAUUGCUACAAGUUUCAACAAAGUGAGCGAUAUGUUGCCUUGGGUUCCCCUUGCCAUCAAAUUGUUGUACCUUUGGUGGUUGAUAGUUUGUUGGCAUUGAUAGACAAUCAAUCCGUUUGGUAUAUGGCUUGGAGUAAUACAAGGAACUUUGUGGUGUUCCGCCAUAUUGAGCCUUGAUAGUGUUCGUUACCAUGUCUUGCAACUAUUGGACAUAUAGUGCAGCAACUGAAGCAAAUUGUUUCUCCUUUUGAAAUUUUGACUUUGCUAAAGAUUCCUCAACAUCCUUGUUUCGUUGAUCAAAACCAGAUGGGCAAGUGGGGACAUGACUUGACUUUCCAGGUGUGAAGGCCUCCAACUUGUUCAUAAGUUGAGCAAUAUGAAGAUUUUUGUCAUCAAUGGAUUUCUUCAAGGCCUCAAUGGUUUGCUCCAUCACGCCAACUUCUCGUCCAUGUCAGUUGAGUCAGCCAUCAAAACAUUGACAUUCAUUGAAGUUGGAGAAUCUAUUGAAUCUUCACAUUCACCAAAGUUGGAGCCAAUUUGAGAAAAUUCUCCAAAGAACACAGACGCAAGAUUGCCCCUAGGUGUUGCACUUACGACCAUCGUAUGAGAGUUGUUGUUUUUCAUCGCCUCCAAAGAAGUGAAGUAUUCAGAUCCAUCUAGCCCACUGUUCUUAAACUUAGGCCAAGUAAUCGGGCCAACAUGACUGAGAUCAGCAGAUACGACAUCAGUAGAGUCCUUGUAUGAAAAAUCACUACUCUUUCUGAAGGCCAUUGCAGUAGUUGCCUUUGUAGUUUCUGAUUUGCAAGAGAAAGAGAUGAAGAGCAGAAUCGAUCCCACUGGGCGUGCCAAAUUUGUUUGCAACAAAUUUCCUUAAGCGCUGAAAAUCAACUUCAAGCAAUAUAAAUAAAAGAAAAAUGUUAUUUUUAUUGAUGAAUCUUUGUGAGUACAAUUCUGUUGUUCUCUUGAUUCUCUCUCCUAAGAUUCUCCAAGAUUCGAGGGUCUUCAGUAGCGUAUUUCUCGAAAUAUUGAAUGAUGUAGACCUCCUUGAAAUGUUGUCGAUCUAUGGGAACGUCGGAAAGUGCUUCGUCGUUUCAAUUCGAUCUCCGGGAAGAACUCCGUUGAUGACUCCUUCGAAGAGCUAUGUAUUUGAUAGUGUAGCUUCCUCCAAUUGCAGAAUGCUUGUUGAAGAGUUUUCUUGAUGCCUUUAGAAUGUCAUGUCCAUCCCCUAUUUAUAGUUGUAGGGGGUGGACAAGGUUGCUUGUGAUUGGCCAAAGAAUGUCAUUUUGACACUUGGUGGAUUGUUUGGUUCUUGCAUUUGACUAGGACUACCACCUCAUUUGGACACGUAGCAUCACCUUGUUGGUCUUGGAUGCUUAGUCACAGUGACACGUGGCAUGAAUUUGGGCUUCAAGGUGAAAUGGACCUUGGAUUUGAAUUUAAUAAGAUGGACUUAUUUAUUUGUAAAGCCCAAAUUAAUCAUUCAGCCCAAAUGAACAUGGAUUUAAUUCAAAUUUUGUAUGAAUUUGAUCCAAUACAAUUUAUGUGUCUACACCAAGUUAUCUUCUCUGAUUAGAUUUUGAGAGGAAAAUAUUUUUAUAAUGUCAAAUACAGUCUUGAAUUGCAUUUGUAAUGAGGAUAAUGAUCUGAUAUUACGUACGAAAAUGCAAUGCAAACAUGGAUACUUACUUUUAUUGCAAACGUCGUGGUCGAAAGACGAUACAACUCGAAGAUUUUGAUCUUAUCCACACUAUCGUAUAUGUUCUCUCCAUAAGUUAUUUCUAUUUUUUGUUUAAUUUAUUUAUGACAUAUUUUAGGAGAAAGUGUUAAACUUCGUUAGAUGCAGAGAUCGUGAAGAUACUAAUAUAAGAUAUAAGUAUAUUAUUAUGAUAUUGGCGAAAGAGAAUUAAAGAGUUGGAAGAAGUACAUUGGCAUUUUAUGAAAUUCAUAUUGAAAGUAACAUAUAAGUGAUGAAGGAGAAGAAAAGAAGAGCAAAUAUCGUAAUGGAAAGCUAAUCGUCAUGUCAACUUUUUAAGCAUUAUCAAGAAUAUGAAAGAUGAAAUAUGUAAUUGGAUGCAACCGAAACUGUCAUAGUUAUUAUACUCUAUAUCUUUAGUUUACUCUUCUUCUUUUUUAUCUUGUUGGAAUAGUUAUAACUUUAACAAGAUGUAAGCGCAUUUGAUUGUGUAAGGCUUUUAAAACCUCAUUUGUAUCACUUUCAAACAAGUUAACCCUUCAUCUAUUUCUAUCUAUCUUAUUGUGGUAACCAUUUGAGAAAAUUCAAAAAGAUGUUCAACUACAAACAUAUGAGAAGAUAUACUAAAAGAAACAAAAAUAUUACACAAUUAUAUAAAAUGAGGAUUUUCACUCUUAACAUAAUCAAUGUUUCAAUUUAAACUACAACAAAAAAAAAUUUAACAUUGUUUUGUUUGGUACCUACAAAAAAUAAAGUUUGAUACCUAAAGGAACCUACGAAACAAAGUUUGAUUCCAACAAAAAAACAACAUCAAAAUAUACACAAUUAAACUUUAUUUGUCAAUAUUAAUAAUAGAAUCAAAAUGCUAACAACAUCAUGUCAGAAUGUAUACUUUCAUGACACAUAUAUCUUUCUAUUUGAACUGAUUUGCUUUGAUUUUAGUAGCAACUGCAGAUCUGAUUUGACUUUAAUUAUUAACACUAGUUGCAGACCUGAUUUGGAUAAAUAUUUUAGCUCUUAUUCUUUCAAAGUUGAUACUAGUAGUAGCAAUUGUAUUUUCCUUUCAUUUGAACUCACGUCUUAGUGUGUAGCAAUAUCAUCACUAAUAACAUCAGUUGUCACUCUUGUACUAGUAUUGAUUAUUCUUCUAUUUGACAAUUCAAGUUGCAUAGUCAAAUAAGAAAUAUUCAAAUCAAAAGAUAUUUAAGCUGCUUAUAAAAUCUUAAUAUGCAUAUAAAGUUAUGCAUUCACUGCUCACAUUAAGAAUUGUAAAGCCAUCUUGAGCUUAGUAUAUUUCAAUCCCUACCAUUAUUGACUUUUUAAAAGGUAUUGUUUGUCCUUCACUAGUGUUCUCAUGUUUUACUGGUCUCUUUCCCUUCCUUGGCCUUUUCCACUAUUUGUUGCUUUAGAAUUAGUUUAGGUAUGUUACGUUGAGGCAUUCUUUUUUUCUAGCUAUGCUUUUGUUCACAUUUCUUUCUUGAGGCAUUACUUUUUCUCUAUUACCAUUCUUUUUCUAUCUAUUUCUAUUCCUUUACAACUUACAAUAAUCUGUUUAUUGAGACUCAAAUUUUAAAAUAUAUUUAUCUUAUCUAAAAAUGAUUGAGUAAUUACAUAAAUUAUCUUUGUAUGUGUAAAAGUUUCAUGUGAUUGAGUUGGAACACUUGAAAUACUGUCUUUACCUCUUUUCUUUACAUCUUCUUUUAUCACUUUUAUUGUUUGUGAUGGCGUGAUUUUUCACAUAUUAGUGCAUAUACUUAAAAUUAUUUCUCUUACAAAUAAAUACAUAUGCCUAUGAAGAAGCUCUAGCUGAUUAAGUUGAACUACUGUCCCUUUCUUUGCCUCUUUCUCUACUAGUAGCAUGUCUAUUGACAUAGUAGUACAAGUACAUAUAACUUACAUUUGAAAGAAACAAAUAAAAAUAUUUAUACCUGAGAAGAUGUUCCAGAUUGAUUUAGACCAACUCAAUCUCUUGUAGGAUAUCCUAUUUUACAGUGUCUUUGUGUACCACAUGUACUACAAGUCAUAUUAGUACCACAAUUAUUAAGCUUUUCAAUUUUCCUGCUUUCUUUUACCUCAUUUGUUUUAACUUUACUUGGUAUUCCGGCAGUUGCUUGCUCUUUGAUAGCUUUACAAUUAAAUUAUUUGAUGUUGUCCACAUUUUCAUGUUAUUUAUUAACUGAAUAAAAUGACCAUGUGCGUUGAGAUAAGUCUUCUUUCUAUAAUAGCUAGCUACAUAGUUGAUUGAUUUCAACUCCUUGUAAUGAAGGGCGCAAACACCAUGAUGACAAAAAAUGCCUCUAAGCUGUCAAGAUCUUCAGCAACAACAACUCCUACGGUGUGAAAUAAUAAGGUUUAAUCUCAAAAUUCCUUUUCCCAAGUGUAACAAACUGAAUUCCAACAGAAGCACUCUUAUAUAUAUUAAUUACUGAAUACAAGUUACAAGGUAGAUUACGCACAACAAAGUAAUAACACACUAAUUACGGAUAGCUUAACAUAGACGAAGGUAACUAGAAGGGGAUGAGAUACUAGACCAUAGAAAGGAGAUGAGAGGAUCAGAAAGUCAAAGCUUCACAUAAUUUCCAUGCCCCUUCUUCUAACUUCUAGUCCUUUUUAAUAGAGAUACUAAUUGGGCCUGGAUCCCCAAAUAAAAGUAGAGCAACUUUCACAUAUAGCAAACAAAAAAAUCAUAUUUGUAUGCUAUAGCAAAGUUUGCAUAAUUGCGCUCCAUAGCAAACAUAUAUAUGUAUAAUUCGCUAUACAUAUACAAUUGAAAGCUGUCUAUUUCGCUAUACAUAUAUACAAAAAGAUAGCAAUUGUAUAAUUCGUUGGCUCCUCUUCAGAAUUGUAUAAUUUCGCUGGCAGGCCAUUUGUAUAAAUUGUUGUUAGCCUCUUGUUUGUAUAAAUCGUUGACAAAAAUAUUUGUAUAUAAAAAAUCGCUCUCUUUCGCUUUAUACAAACAUAAAUUAUACAUUAUACAUACAUUAUACAAACAUAAAACUNNNNNNNNNNNNNNNNNNNNNNNNNNNNNNNNNNNNNNNNNNNNNNNNNNNNNNNNNNNNNNNNNNNNNNNNNNNNNNNNNNNNNNNNNNNNNNNNNNNNNNNNNNNNNNNNNNNNNNNNNNNNNNNNNNNNNNNNNNNNNNNNNNNNNNNNNNNNNNNNNNNNNNNNNNCUGUUGUAUAAAACGAGAAAAAGAGAAAUGCAAAAGAGAACUGGGCAGGGGAAUAUUUUUAUUGUAUAAUUAUAAGUGUAUAGGACGAAUAUAUAUGUAUUUGCAUGUGUAUAUACAAUUUUCUCUCGCUUUAUACAAACAGAAACGCAAUUUAUACACUUCUGUUGUCUAAAGCGAGAGAGGCGAGCACAGAGGGAGUGAGCGAGAGAGGAGAGUGGCGAGCGAGAGUUUGAGGGAGAGAGGUGCUGGCAAACAGUUUGCUACAGGACACAAUUAAAUCAAAGUGUGAUUAUACCAUUUAAUUUGAAUUAAUAGUUUGCCAUUAUAUACAAUUUUCCCAUAAAAGUAUCUAAUAGCCCAUAGGCCCUUACCAAGUCACGUCGGGUUCACAACACCAAGCCAAGACAGAUUGCAUUGUAUUGACACUAAUCUCCUCAAGCAUUGUGCUGCUUGUUUUAUACCUUGCAGAAAGUAUCUACACAUUAAAACUGUGUCAUAUUGUUGUCUAUAAUAUCACAUUUAUUAUGUUCUUGAAUAUAUCUCUUGCACCAUGUAUCCAAGUUCUACCAUAGAAAACCAUCCAAACAAUCCCUUCCUAAUUUUUUCAUUUUCUCUAUAUUGUCCUUCAACUCAAUUGGAAAUGCGGAUUUAGCAAUCCUCCAAUAAUUUUUUGCUCUUUUAUAUUCCUUUACAAUUUUACACCGAUUUACAAGAACAUGUCUUGCACAUUUUUCGUGUCCAUUUGAAUUUCAUAUGUUCUAAAAUCAAGUUUAAAUAAUCGAGUUAUAAAUUUAAUAUUUUAUAUAUAAUAGUAAAAAAAAUAUUAUUAAAAUAAAAUUUGAACUAAAAUUAUUUCACCAUAUUUUUUUGUAUAUUAGCUUCUAUCUCCACUACAUACUUGAAAUUAUGACAAAAAUAUGAUUGCAGAAGGUUCCUUUUCCUUAUCAAGGUAUGAUUUUGGAUAAAAACGCAUUUCAAAAUGUUUAAGAUAUACAUUAAUGAGAAUCACUCAAAGAAUGAGGGGUCACUUUUGGUGAGAAAUAAAAGAAAUGAAUAGAAACGUGAAACCAAUGUUGUUUAUCUCCAGUUUGGUUUAGGGACUUAAAUCACAUAUUUUGUUUAAUUGAAGGUUAAUAUUUUGCCUUCAUUAAUAUGAGAAACAAAAUUAAAAUAAGUCAAUAAUAAGAGGAAAAAAUAUAUAUUUUUUCAUAAUUGUUUGUCACUCUUCAAAUAUGAUUUAUAUCUAGAUAUAAUGUCUAGUGAAUAGCGCUAAAAUUCAAUACAAGUAUUUUAUUUUCGUGUUUUAACUUUUACUAUUGACGAAUCUUACAUAACAUUUUAAAAAAGAGUAUCGAAAUCUAACUGAAUUGUACCAAUAUAAUUGAAAUGAUUUUGAAAAGUCUAAUUUUAGUUAUAAUUCUAAGAGAUUCAAGCCAAAAGUCCAAUAUGAGUACUCAUCAAGUCAUCUUAUCACUUUCUAACUUUUGCUAGCAACUCUUACAUAACUAUUUAAAAAAUAUAUCAAAACUAACUGUACCAAUAUGAUUAAAAUAGUUUUAGAGAAGUGAUCUAAUUUUAGUUAUAGCUAAAUUGUAUCGAUAUCAAAGAAAAACCUAUAAGAUUGGAAUGAAUUUGAAAGUCUAAUUGUAUACAAACUAAAAUAAUCGAGAAAUUGAUAUUGAUACAAAUUUUAUAAAAUAAUCAAUCCAACCGAACCAUUACGCCCCUAAUUAAAAGGUGAUGGUACAAAUCAAUGAACAGCCUGACAUUUCUUAUGGUUUGAGUUGGGACUGUGCAGGAACACUAAUUUUUGACAACCUCAAGAUCGAGCCUUCAACGGGAGUGUUGCUUUGUUAAGCCAACCCCUAAUUAAAAGAUUAUGGUCCAAACCAAUGAAUAACUUGACAUAUCUAGUGGUUUGACUUGAAAUUGUGCGGAAACACUGGUUUUUGACAACCUCAAACUUGGCCAUCGGCGGGAAUGCAGCUCUAUUAAGCUAGCCCUUAAUUAAAAGAUGAUGGUCCAAUUCAACGAAUGACCUGACAUUUCUAGUGGUUUGACUUGAAACUUUGCCCAAACUCGGGCCAUUGGUGAGACUGCUGCUCUGUUAAGCCAGCCUAAUAAAAUUACUUUAUUUUACUCCCACCGUAAACAUGAUGCACUUAUUAUGAACUCACUAUUUGUCGAGGGCUGAAGAUUUGAACGUCCCGAUCAUCUUAAUGCUCCCACUUGGGUUACAAGCUCACGUUACUAAGCUCAGCAAUAUGUGUUGUCUUGUUGAGUACUUAUAAAAAGAAACUUUUGGUCUGGUGUCACCGAUGUGGGAUGUGACUUGAUUAUUGCUUAAUUAAAUCUUGUAUGGUAAUUAAGGAUGUGUUCAGCAUAGAGGUUUUUUUUUCUUCUAGUUUUUCCAUGUUCGAUUGAUCACAUAUUUUAGAAAAUACUUCCGUAGAAAAACAAGUUCAUUAAAAAAAUAAAAAAUAAUUUUCCUAAUGAAAGUAUGAAAAAAACAAAUUCCACAAAUGACAUUUCACAUUGAUUGCUCACCAUCCAAACACACUUCAUCUUCAUCCUUGCCCCAAUAACCCCAUCCCCACAACCCCAAUGUAUAGUGAGUCUCACUAAAGUCCAGCGUGAGUCUCAUCUUAUCAUGUUCUAACUUCUACUGGCGAUGACUCUUACAUAACAUUUUCUAAAAAAUAUGAAAAACCAAUCAAAUUGUAUAGAUGUGAUUGCAAGGUCUAAUUUUAGUUAUAAUUUCUAGUGAAUCGCGCUAAAAUGCAGUACAAGUACUCAUCUUUAUCACAUUUUAACUUCUACUAGUGAUGAAUCGUACAUAACAGUAUAAAAAAGAGUAUCAAAAGCUAAUUGAACUGUACCUAUAUGAUUGGAUUGAUAUUGAAACCCCCCACAUAGCUCUAUUCCCACUAGAGGCGUAUCCAGGAUUUCGGCUAGAUGGGUGCACGAUUACGAAAAAAUAUAUUUUAAAUAUAAAUUUGAUCAAUUUGACUUUUAGUUCAUACAUGAACCAUUAAAUUUUAAAAAUUAUAGGUUCAAAAUGUAUAAUACUACUAGUUUUAAAUUUUAAUAUACACAUUUGAUUUAAUUAUAUAAAAAAUUUACAAUGUUAAAUAUUUUAGGAAUUUUCAAUGUAACACAUUUGAAAAUUUUGAAAGAUUAAAGGAAAAAACAAAAGCAAGAAACGUCAAAAGUGUAACCGAUAAUCACUUGAAAAUGUGUUACUCACAGAGACAAAAUAGAUAUAAGAUUUAAAUUUAUAUCCUCACUUAAAGAGGUGCACCCAAUCAUCAUCGCAUUAUUAUAUGAUAUACUUUGAACAUGGGUUCACACAUCUAUAUUUAAAUAUUUUUUAAAAAAUAUAACACUACUAUAUAUGAUCUAGAGAGGGGAGCAUGGGUUCACGUGAACCCACGGCACCCUCUCUAGAUACACCUCUGAUUCCCACCACCCCCAUUAUUUAGAGACUCACGCCAAAAUUUCAAUAUGAAUACUUAUCUUGUUAUGUUCUAACUUCUGCUAGUGACAAGUUUUACAUAACAUUUAAAAAAGUUAACGACAAUUAAUUAAAUUGUAUCGAUAUAAUUGGAAAGUGUAAUUUUAGUUAUAAUUAAUGUCUAGUGAGCUGCUAAAAUUCAAUACAAACAUUCAUCUGGUCAUGUUCUAGCUUCUACUAGUCACGUAUCUUACAUAACAUAUUAAUUAAUAGAGUUUAUUUUUAAAAAAAUUAACAAACUUAUAAUUUACAAAGCUUUAAUAAUUUAUCACUUACAUAGCUAACUUACUUUGAAUUUUAAAAUUUGAAAGUCUAACAAUCUAACUUUACAAGGAAUUGAAUUUAACAAACUUACAAUUUCCAACACUUUCAAAAAAUUAUUUCUUACUGAGCUAACUUACUUUGAAAUUUAUAAAGUCUAACAAUCUAACAUUUAUAAAGAAUUAAAUUUUAAAAAUAAAAAAAUGUAAUUAAAAAUCACAACUUAGAUAUUUCAUAAUAUUUUUUUAAAAAAAAUUAUCGUGCCGCGAUCUGUUCUGUCCUGUAAAAUAGGUAGAUCGGGACGGGACUAUCGAUUUUGACCCCUCUGUCCUGGUCCGGGAUAGGCCCAUUCCCAGCUCAAUCCCUACCAAUGUUGUCCUGGACCCGCCCCAUUCGCCCCUAUCCCUUUAUGAGAUUAUACUGAGUAGUGAAUAAUGUUGUUGUAUAUUUCUAUUUCUUUCCUUUUCAAAUAUAACACAUAAUUUAAAGUGUAAAUGCUGCAUUAUUAGGUAUGCCAAAAUGGCCUAAAUACAGGUGACCGCAUAGAAGUGAUCUUGAAUGGGGAAUACAAUAAUUUUAUAAACGAUACAACGACCUUACCUCAUUAUUUUAUUUUGAUAAUUACGGUAUUAAGGUUCAAUACAUCCAAACUUCAACUAAUUUUAUAAAGUAUGUGUCGCCUCCCAUUAACAAUAGAUAUCAAGCAACUCUGUACCCUCAAGGCUUGAACAUUAGAUGAUUUUUUUCUCAUAAGUUCCAGUCUUGGAAGAUAAAAUUAUUGAGAUCUAAAUCCGAAACUUCAUGGCACUCACCUACUUCAUUGACACGCCCUUAGGUGCUAAAUUCUACAUCAUUAUUAUGCUGCUACUCUUUGGGGUAGUUUGGUGCGCACAAUGAAGUGGACUAUUCCAAGAUUAAGCUUGGAAUAAAAUUUAUUAUGCAUUUAGUUGAAGGUAUAAAUUAACAUCAACCAAACACAAGCAUAAAUUUAAUCCAAGUUUAAUCAUGAAAUAACUCAAGCUUAGUCAAAGGAUUACAAUCCCAAGAAUAUGAUCACAGAAUAACGACCCCUUUAGGUUUAAAAGUGGUACUUCACUGCCAUGCACAUAAAGUGAAGAGCAUUAAACCAUAAUUUUCAGCAAUCCAAAUUACAGAGCAGCCACACCAGUUGGAUAUUGGCUUUCAUGUUACCACUAUGAGCUUGAGAAACAAGUCAUUCAUUCGAAUAUGUAAAAAUAGGAGCAAAUACUAUCCAGAAAACUAUCUUCCAUUGAGUAGCAUGAUUAAAUCAAACAAAAUUGGAUUUAGAAAACAAUUCAUGACACAAGAAAACUACAUAUUGCGAUCAGCCAAAGCUACUCCAGCUCAAGUCUCACCCUAUGCCACAAGUGUGCUGGCAGUGGUAGAUUCGCUGCACAUACGAGGAAAUAAAAAUAAUCAGCAACGUUCAGUUAUAUAAGAAUUGCUGCAAAUGAAUAAGAUGGCAUACACCUUGCUUUUUAAACCAGGAAAGUAGUAAAAACAACGGAAAAAGAAAAGGAAAUUACAGCACAUGUUGGUUUUAGAACCAUGUAACUUGAAAGAUUGUUUUAAACCAAGAACAAUGCUCGAAACUCAAAUGGAUAAUAAUGGGCCAUCCUUCUUUCUCCAUUAAAUAUCAGGUUUUAGUUUGGGGCAAGGUUCAAACCCAUAACAUGCGCCUAAUCCACACAUAAACAUGCUAAACUCUUACCAGUAGACCAAAGACCCAGGAACAGAUCCACAUAAGAAAAUCACCAAAAACAUUUAGAAAAGCAAACAAAGAACAGAUUGAAGAAUCAAUGUCAACGGAUUAUAUGCUGUGCAUCCCAGUAUAUAAGUAUUCCACUACGAGCAAACCAGAGUACUAUGGUAAGAAGUAAAACUUUGCUGUAUUUAAAGAAAAAAUAUACCCAAACCUGGAAACAAACAACUUCUUCACCAUUCAGAACUUUCCUUAAACAGUUUAGUAGUUUUCUUGGUGCAUUUUUCAAUAAUAUGCACCAAACACAAUUUAGACAUAAAAUGAUACCAAAGUUAAACUAGAAAGGAGAAACAAGUGUCAAGGAACGGUGGGUUUCAUUACAACUUUAAAGAUUGCUAUACACAAACCAGGAAAUUUCAUUUACAAUGGAGCAUAUAUCAAGAAGAGGGAAGCAAACAACAAUAACAAGUUCACAACCAUGGCUCGAUCCCAAGCUAGUUGGAGGUUAGCACAUGAAUCCUCACAAUUCAUUUUGCUCAAUUAAGACACCUCACAAUCAAAAACAGCAUAAACCUAUCACAGCCAAUAAUCCUAAAUAUUAGAAAGAUUUCAGCUAACUUUUUAAAUUGUAAGGAAAAUAAAUCUUAUGCCUAGCUCAAUUCCAAAAGCAAACUCAUGAUGCGGGGAGACACCCCCAACAACCCAUUCUUUAGCGUACACAUAGGCCAUGGAGGCUAAGCAUUGGGCAAAUAAAGAAUAGGGGUGGGGGAGGGAAGAAGUUUAGGCUUAACGCUUCCCCAAAAGCUAACUCACGAGGUGAUUACCUAAUGACCAUAUGAGCAGGCAACAACUCAUUCUCUGAACCAGUGUGGCUGGCUCACUUUAACAUUAACAAACUACUAAUUGCUGCCCAUCUUUCAGGAUCAUCAGUUCACUUAAAUCAAAUAAGAAAACCUAUGUUUAACAAAGUGAAACCAAACCACUCCGGCAAUCUUAACGGAAUCAACAAUGCAUACUAUUUGCAGUGCGCUAAAUGCAACUCAAUACCACACUAAGAUAUUCAAAGUAAUGCAAAAAAUUAUAAACAAGAUAGAGUAGCAAGUAAGCUUACUAUUUCCAGACAGGUGGGAGCUUUUUUGUUUUCUUGUAAUAGCGAGCAAGGCGAUGGAUCCUGCUCUCCACCAAAAUCAAACGGAACUUGGAAUCCUUAUCCUUCCUGUUCCUCUCCAAAUGCUUCCUGAUGGCAACAGCUUUCUUAAUCAGGUGGUACAAAUCCUCUGGAAUCUCAGGUGCAAGCCCUAUCAAUUAUCCCAAAAAUUACUCAUACAUCUCAAACCACAUUCAUUCAAAUACUCAUAAACCAAACCACACAUAAACAAUGAUAAAAACGUACCGUGUGCCUUGAGGAUACGCAAGAUCUUGCUACCAGUAACACUCUUCACUUGUGCAAUUCCAUGAGAAUCACGAAGAAUCACACCAAUCUGUGAAGGGGUCAAUCCUUUCUUAGCGAACUUGCAAAUGUUGUCCUCAACCUGAAAUCAGAAAAUCAAGCAAAACUUAAUUAAAAUUUCUAAAAACAUCUAUAUAGUAGUAGAUAAUAAAGGUGGGAUGAUUUACAUCUGGAGCGGAGAUCUUGAGCCAACUAGGAGGAGUUCUCUUGUAAGGGAGAGCAGAAGCUGAAAUACCCUUACUGAAACCACAAAAAACAGGGGAAACAGAAAAUGUCAAAUUGAUGCUCACAAAAAUGAAAAAAAAAAUGGAGAUUCAAAAGAGAGAACAACGAACCCACGACUGUGCAUGCGACCCAUGAUGGCGGAGUUAGGGUUGGCGACUGGUGGUCUGCAAUGGAGGCUUACCUUGGGUUGUGCGGAAGGAUUUUUAUGAAAGCUGCUUCUCUUCUUUAAUCUAUGGCGUUUUACUAGGGUUUAGUAUUACUACUUUGGGCCUUCAGAAGCCCAGUUUUCUGGGUUUACUGGGCUGGAGUUAACAUAGUUUCCUAUAGAAGGUGGGCCUAUCUUCAGCCCAAGUCGUGUAAAUCUGUGUAAAUCAUUUUCAUCUUUUAUGUAGUAGGCAUUCAUUCACACAUAAGAUUCAGGAUCUCAAUUUUAUGUUUGAAUUUGAAAUUAGAGGUUUAUUUCAACUUCAAUUUCAGCUAUCAAAUUCUUCAAAAAGUAGGAUUUUAAAUUAAAAAUUAUGAUUUCAAUUUUUAUUAUAUAAAAUUUGAUUCAUAAGUGUAUAUUAUUUAUAUAAAGAUUCAUUAUUUUAAAUUUUGUAAAAAGAACUCAUGCCCAUGCUCGAUGUGAAAUAUAUUGUAUUAAAAAAUAAUUUGUUAUCUAGUGGAUCUUUAUAAAAAAAAAAUGUAUAUUUAAAAGUUUGUAAUAUAAUAUAAAUUACCACAUUGUUGUACAUUCUAACUAAAAUUACGAUAGUGUGUCGAAGCCACACUGUCAUGCCGUAUACCCAAAUUACUGGUAUCGUUUGACUAACAACACUUAUAACUAUUUGUUGUUGAAUUAUACACCUAAGUAAUUCAAUAUUCAAAUUGGGAAGAUUUGUGUUACAUCAAAGGUUAAAAUCAUUGUUGAUAGAUUCUUCGCAGGACCGUCUUAAUCCCUAGGCCACUAAAAUCAUCGCUUCUGGCUCCAUUUUUUUUUGGGCUCCACUUUCUUUACAAAAAUACUUAUAAAUGUUAUUUUUUAAAAGAAAAUUAUAUGUACUAUGAAUGUUAUGAUUUCUACUAAGGAAAUUGCAUAUGAAAUGAAUAUAGAACUUGAAUUUCGUAAGAAACAAUUUGAUGAAAAUCACAAAAACACACAAACACAGAUUUGUUUAUUUUCCAAAUGCACAUAUUGCUUAUUGAAUAAUGUUAACCAUUCCUCUAAUUGUUCCCUAAGUCGAAAGAAGUUUUUCGAAACUAAAAUUGACUAAAUCUUAUUUAAGAUCAACAAUGUCUUACUGGAGAUUGAAUGGAUUAGCUAUAUUAUCAAUUGAAAAGAAAUUAUUAAAACAGUAACUAAUGAUUUCGCAUCUAAAAAAGCUAGAUUUGUAUAUUUCAAAGAAAAGUAUAUAUGAUGAAAACAAACAAUAUUAGAGCUCCUCCUUUAAGUUUCGUUUUAGGCCUCCAAUCUUGUUAAAUUUGCCCUGAUUCUUCGCUUUGGAUAAAGCGUUCAACUGUUGGAUCAAUGUCAAGCAUUGUUUAUGUUGAUGGGAUUGCUAAAAAUCUCAUAACGAAGAAAUAACAAUAAAAAUUAUCAUCCCAAAUUCGAGUCUCACCAUAAAUUGAAAAUUCAUUGAUUACAAAUGACACUGAAUAUUCUCAAGUGAUACCACUGAAAGUUCCAGAUCACUUAUGAUUAUUUUAUUCCUAGCCUAAAAUGGACAGAAAAUGUGUCCAAAUCUGCAAUUUUUUUGGUUGAUGUACAAUGUGCUCAAAUGUGUAGCUAAUUUUUUUUUGGCAGGCUGUUAAAGGUUAUAACUGCAUUAUAAGAAGAGCCAAGGGUAGCUCAAUCAGGGGUGAACCUACGUUGGGUCAAGAUGGUUCAUAUGAUCCACUUUGUAAAAAAAUUACAUGAUAGCCUUUGGUCCAGUGGUAAAUCGGGCACCGUUUUGUGAAGGCCCAAUUUUUUAGUAAUAAUAAAAUUAUGGGAAAAUUACGCGGAAAAGCAGACAUAUACUAAUUAAUUAGCUAAUAUAGUUAUAGUAUGAAUUAAUUACGGCUUGCAGCUUAAUUUUAGCUUUAAUUACUUCACUUGUCCUCUUUUAUACAUAUACAAAUACAAAUUAUGCACACAUAUAUAUACAAUUAUAUGACAUGUAUACAAUACAAUUAACCUCUCUCCGCUCUGUGACCUUUCUCGCUCGUCUCUCUCCUCUCUCCCAAUCUCGCUCGCCUCUCUCCUCCCUCUCCCUAUCUCUCUCGCCAGAUAUACUAAUACAUAUGUAUAUCAGUUAUAUAUAUACAAUUAUCUGACAGAUAUACAUAUACAGUUCGCCUCUCUCCACUCUAUGCCCUCUCUCGCUCGCCUCUCUCCUCUCUCUCCCAAUCUCGCUCGCCUCUCUCCUCCCUCUCUCAAUCUCGCUCGCCAGAUAUACAAAUACAUAUGUAUAUUAGGUACAUAUAUAUACAAUUAUUUGACAGAUAUACAUAUACAAUUCGACUCUCUCCACUCUCUGCCCUCUCUCCUCCCUCUCCCAAUCUCGCUCGCCACUCUCCUCUUUAUAACAUGUAGCUACGAAUUGUAAUUAGCAAACUAUAGCUAUGGAGCGUAAUUAAACUAUUUUAUUAGUGGUUAUAUGCGAAAGUUCCCCUAAAAUUAUUAUAAGCUUUUUCAACAAAAUAAUAUACUAUAUCUUUUAAUUUUUUAUCUUUUUUAGUUCGUUUCGAAACAUUAAAAAAUGUUUUUGUCUUUUUGUCGAUUUUAAAAUUUAACUUCCACAUAAUAUGUUUAAGAUCACAAGAUUAAAAAAUGUUUUGGUAUAUCUUUAGUUUAAGACCAUAGAAAAAAUAAAGUUUUUUAAUUAAAAAAGAAAGAAUAUAAAUUUGUAUCUCAAAAAUAAAAUAUAAAAAAUUAAUUAAAAGUUAGACUCCGAUUUAUUUUUGGCUUCAGGCCACUAAUUAGCCUGAGCCGCCACUGUUGGACAGUAAAUGAAAAGAGUUCCCUUAAACGAAAGAUAGAAAAAUAAAGCAAAGAAACAAGACAAUAUGUUAGAAAAAUAAAGUAAGAAAACAGUAUAAGAGAUAUGCAUUCUAUAUAAAAAGAGUUGGACAGUAAAUGAAAAAAGUUCUCUGAAGGUGAUCAAAAAGAUUCGACGAAAACCGGGCAUACAUUCGAGAGAGAGAAGGAUUAGUUCCUGUCUGGGUCAAGGGGACGGGUAAAAAACAAUCAAGACUUUUAAGAAUACAUAAGACCUUCUUAGGAAAGUCUCUAUCCUUCUCUUACAGUCAAUCAUUCCUAAAGUCAAGACAUACGAAAUUAUAAAAUUAGAUCUCCGUAAAUUUUAUUUCAGAGACAUUUUCGUAUAUAUCUCACCCACAUAAUUGGAAACUAGACGAUAACGUAAGAUCACUUGUUGCCAUGCGAUUAACAAAAAUUAAGCAGCGGUUAGUAAAAGUUAAACAAUAAUGUUAAAUGAAAUGAUUGUGCCUCAUCUUCUUUGAAUUGUUUGACAACUCCCAAAGUUAUCAUAUCAAUGACAUGAUUGUGCCUCAUCUUAAUCGUUUUAAUAAUUUUGAUAAAUUUCUGUUCAUCUUUUAUAUCUGGAUAGUAUCGAAUUUUUAUUACAAAAAGAAUCCAAAUACAAUUGACGUAAUUGAAAGAGACAAAGCAACACAACAAACAAACGAACUAUUAAUCUUCAAGUGUUAGUAACACGAAGAGGAAAAUGGAAUACCUUUAAAACAUUAGGCAAGUGUUAGUAAUAGAAAGAGGAAAAUUGAAUACCUUUAUAACAUUAUACUUCGAAGACAAUCCAUAGGAAGAUUUUCAAAAUCAAGAAUUCUACGAGCAAAUCCAAUGAGUAACUCUCUGUGAAUAAAUUGAGCAGAACUAACCAAAUCUAUUCUCAAAAAUGGACUUAUCCAAUGCUCCCCAUUUCUUCACCUCUACUGUCAAUACCUCAACAAAGGCUACAGAGCCGGCAGAAGGGGGAAGCCACUAAAGCAAUUGCUUUAGGCCCUUAAGUUGAAGCCCCCAAAAUAUUAUUUUAUGUGCUCUAAAAUGUGAUAAAAGUUACUCGAAUAUUAAUUCAAAUUUUAUGUUCUUUUCAUCUGUAUUAAGUAAUUUUUUUUAAAAUUUUUUUUAGUCGGUAUCAUAACGAAUAACAUCUUAUAAGAAAUUGAUUUUAAACUUCUUGUUUUAAUCUUAAUGAGAUAAUUUAUUGCUACAAAAUUUCUAUAAUUUCUUUUAGAUCACAAAUUUUAAAAAUCUUCAUUCCUUUUUAAAAAAAUUAUGUAUAAACUCAAAUACCUUCACAUGAAUUAGUGAACAAUAAACAGUAUAAUAUAUAUAUAUAUAUNNNNNNNNNNNNNNNNNNNNNNNNNNNNNNNNNNNNNNNNNNNNNNNNNNNNNNUAAAAGAUGAAGUCUCUUGCUUUUCUUACUUGGGGAAGGGAGAAUAAGAAGGGGAUACAAAAUGAGAAUCGAAUUCUCACCAAUAAGGUGAAAGUUUAGAUAGUCAAUCAACUGAACUAUUAAGAUUUUUCGAUGAAGUCUCUUUUAUAGUUGAUUAUAUCUUCUUCUUUUUUAAAUUCAAAAUACAACAACAUCAAUGCAACAACAUAUCCGGUGAAAUUCCACAAAGUGAGGUCUAGAGAGAGUAGAGCGUACAUAGACUUUAAUAACCGUUAGUAUAUGUUUCUGAUACAAAUAUCUAUUGAGUUUUAGUUUUGUGCGUCGUCGGUGUAUGAAAAAUCUACACCAUCAGGUAUUUUUAAUGAGAUUUAACCAUAGUAACUUAUUUUAAUAAAAUAACAAUAAUUAUAAAUAAUAAUAAAAAGAAUAUCAACGAGCUGAGUCCUACUUGGAUUCUAAUCAAAUUUAUUUCCAUAGAUAAAUUAUUUUCUUUCCAAACUUAAUUACAAUAAUGAGGUUUACCGUAGGUUUUCCUAGGAUCAUGUUUAUGAAAUUCUUCAAAGCCAAAAACUUCUGAAUUUGCUAAGAAAUAAUUUUUAGAGCAUCAGGCGAUUUUGAAACUUGACAAGCCUCUUCUACUUAGUGGUGUGUCUUUAUAUAAUUAGAACAAAUUUCACAUUAUUUCUCGUUUACAGGCAUAAAAAGGCCUCUUUUGAUUUUUGAACAUAUCUUCAUGAGCAAAGAAUUUCAAUGUACUAAAUAUAAGUGAAUAUAGUCUCGUGAGAGGUGAAUAUUGUAUCUUAAAGUGUCUUCAUAUUGUCCCCAAUACUUUUGGUCUGCUCUUUAGAAUGUUGGAAGGAAUUUAUUAAUUGAACUUUCACUAAUAUUGAAUAUGUUUCUUAAUUAAAGUGUUGGAUAAAUAUAUGAGCAGAUUCAUUAUUGUAAGCUAUCUAACUUUUAUAUUUUGCAGGAUUAAUGGAAAAAUCAAAUAUAGAUGAGCAAAAUCUAGAAAGCUGAAGUUUUAUUGGAAGAAAGUGACAUGGAUGGAAUUGGACAAACUGCUUCUAAUAUAGGUGUGGAAAAUUCAAAAGACCCAUACAGCAGUAACGAGUUUCAGUCUCUUGAUGAUUCAUUUACGUUUUAUCUUGCUUAUGCUCAUCAUAGUGGUUUUACUGUGCGUCGUGGUCGUAUGACUAAAUCAAGAAAAGAUAAAUCAAUAAUUGGUCAAGAGUUUGUUUGUUCAAAGCAAGGAUUUCGUUCAAAGAAAAAUUUAGAAAACAAUAAACCACAAGAUGAAACUAGAGAAGGAUGCAAAGCAUUGUUAUAUAUGUCGAAGAAAGGAGAAGAUAAAUGGGUUGUUUGUAGGCUUUGUUGCUGAGCACAAUCAUGAACCUGCAUCUCCAAAUAGUCAAAAGUUUUUGCGGUCAAGAAGAAAAAAAUUUGAGGCCCAAAAAAAUCUUCUUGAUUUGCUUGAUAACUCAGGAGUUCAUCCAAGUAAAACAACAUCAGUAUUGAUAAAUCAAGUUGGGGGUGUUGAUCGAUUGAAUUUAAUAGCUCUAGAUAUUCAUAAUUAUUUACAAGCGAGAAGACAAAAAGAUCUCGAAAAAAGAGAUGCACAAUUAAUGCUACAAUAUUUUCAAAGACGUCAAUCCGAGAAUCCAGGUUUCUUUUAUGCAAUACAGAGGAUGUAAAUGGUCAUUUAGCUAAUAGUUUUUGGGUUGAUGCUAGAUCUAGGAUAGCGUAUUAAGAAUUUCAGGGAAGUAGUUGUUUUUGAUCCUACAUAUUUGACAAAUAAAUAUAAGAUGCCUUUUGUUCCAUUUACUGGAGUUAACAACCAUCAUCAAUUUAUUUUGUUUGGUUGUGCUCUACUUUGGGAUGAAACUCAAGACAUUUUCGAGUGGUUACUUCGUACUUGGAAGAGGCAAUGUUUGGAGUGACACCUCAUACAAUCAUAACAUAUCAAAAUUUUGCCAUAACAAAUGCAGUUGCAACAAUAUUUCCUAACAGUAAACCUCACUUUUGUAUAUGACACAUAACAAAAAAGAUUUCAGAAUAUGUAAGUCAUGGGUGCCAUCAGUAUUACGAUUUUAGUAACAAGUUUAGUUGGUGUAUUCAUGGUACAACCACUCUGGAGGAGUUUGAAACGGUGUGGAUCGAGAUAACGAAAAUGUAUAAUUUAGAAGAAAAUAGUAGGUUGCAGAGGAUAUAUGAAAUUCGUGAAAAAUGGAUACCGGCAUAUGAGUGUACCACUUUUUAUGCAGGCAUGUCGACAAGUCAAAGAAGUGAGAGUAUGAACAAAUUUUUUAAAGAUUAUUUGAAUUCUAGUACUCCAAUGAGUGUACGUGUGGUGCAAUAUGAUAAGGUUAUUGACGCUAGAUAUGAUAAAGUAAGGGAGAAGGAUUACAAGACAAAACAUUCUCGACCUAUCUUGAAAACUUUGUAUCCUAUGGAAGAUGAAGCAGCGAAGGAAUAUACAAGAAAAAUGUUUCAGAUUUUUCAAGAAGAACUAAUUCAAUCUCAAAAAUUUAUCGCUGAAAAGAUUGAGGUUAAGGAGGGAGCAAACAUCUAUAAAGUCCAUCAGCUUCAAAGACAAAGUCGGCAUAUAUAGUUAGUCUGGAUCUGCCAUUGAAAAGAGUUGUUUGCUCAUGUCACAAGUUCGAGUUCAUGGGAAUUCUAUGUAGACAUGUACUAAUGGUAUUUACAUAAAAAAAAAGAUUCACUCACUUUCAAUGUAUUAUUUAUUAGAUCGAUGGAGAAGAAACACAAUCAAAGAAAAAGCUAAUGACCCUCCAAAUGUAAUACAAACUAUGAAACCUUCUACUUUGUGGUUUAAUAACAUUAUGAUGCAUUCUAUUGGGCUAUCUGAACGAGCUACAAAGUCUGAAAAACAUUAUCGCUUUAUGCAUCAAAGAUUAUUGCAAUUGUGUGGAGAACUUGAUAAACUUCCUUAUGAAUCUAAGGAAGAUUGUGUAUCAGGUGGUCAAGUUAGAGAGAAGAUCAGGAAAUAAACUCAUGUGAACAAAGUCAAGAUGUUACUUUACUUGACCCUCCGGUAGCAACAAAUAAAGGGCGUCCGAGAUCUUUGAGGAUGAGAGGUUCUCUAGAAGUUACUUAGAAGACCAAAAAAAAUUCUUCUCCAAAAAUCAAAAAAGUUUCUUCUCAAAAGCCAAAAAAGCAAACGAGAAGUAUAAAAGUUAAGAGAAAGGGAACAAGGUAAUUUCACUUUACAGAAUGCAUAUUAUUUCUACUGGGAUUACUUUUGUAAUAACUUCUAAAAUUUCAUAUGUAGUUCAAAUUUUGAUGCUUAUUCAGAAUUUUAUCAAGAAUAUGUUGAGAAUCCUGGUUGUGCAUUAUGUCACCUCCUUUACAAUAAAGAACUGUUCUUUCUUUAAUCAUGUCGUUUAUAUAUUGUUACAUGCUAAGAUGCGUGUUGAUGAAUUAUUAUUCUCUUUUCAGGAUCUAAUGAAAGCGGCUUCAACUCCAUUCCGACAAUAUCGUCCUAGUUAGUGAGUAAAAAGACAGAAGAUUUGGAGCUUUGAGAAUACGAAGAAAAGAGGAAGAAACAGUUCUUUAGUUUAAAUUUAUUAGUUUUCUCUGUUUUUUUAAUUCUAAAUAGUCUUUUCAUAGUUUAUUUUGAUGUUUUUAUGGUGUAAAGGCAGUAUUAGUAUUUGGACAUAAUCAACAUGUAAGCAUGUUGAUCAAUGAACUAUAUAUAAGGUGAUACUGCUUGCGAAAAAUUCUACGCCAUUGAUACUCUGUGUACACAAAAAUAGAAAAAAAAUUAUGUUUAAUUAUUUUAUAAUAGAUCAUGCGAUAUUGAGAAAAUUAUAUCAAGGAAAAAUGUUGGCAUAAAAAAACACACGUGUUAGAAGAAACGAUCGAUCAAAAAGUACAAUAUUUGUCAUCAUUCAAUGUAGUUUCUUGAGAUAUAUGACAAUGUCGAAUCUCUACGUUUAUAUUCAACAAUAUUGCAAAAACCUUAGUUAUUUCUAUUAUUCGGAUAUUAGUUAAGAAUCUUUCAUAAAGCUUAAUGAAGUCACUUAUGACCACUUGAUGCACAAAUAAAUUACCUAGUGUAUUAAUAAUUCGUAAUAUGUCGUGGGAAACCCUAACCAAACUAAAUGUGAAGUUCGCAAUAAUAUAUGUAAACAGUAAUUUAACAAAUUGUUUUUUUCGAAAAUUCACCACAGGAAAAAGUGAUAAACAUCCAUCAUAUUUGCAUUCUAUUUUGUUGCAAAGUUAACAUGAGUAAACACAAGAAGAUCAUUUUGAAUCACAUUUCAUAGAUCCCAUUAAGAUAAAUGAAAAGCAGAAGCACUGAAAAGAUGAGUUUUAAGUUACACGGCGUCUAAACUAUACACCAAGGAAGAAGCAACUGUACUUUGAGGUGCUACAUGAUUAUAGGAUGCCAAAUACCACAUACAGGAUAACACCUGAAUCACAAAUUGUUCAAUGACAGUAAACAAAAGAAAAAACACCGAAAUCAAUCCUACGAAAUUGCAAAUUAGAUGCACUGGAACAUGCCAAAAUGAAAGACCAAGCUACAAAUACUCGCAAAGUCAGCUUUCUUGUUUUCAUCCAACGAAUAUUAC